GCCUCUGUGGAUCAUGGUACCAGAUCGCCUCGAUUUUAUAGAGGGACGUGCAUUAGGUAGGCUAUCUCAUUGAGGGAGUGGAGGUUCGAUUCCUCCCAGAGGCA